UGGAGGUGUUGGAGGUGUGUAGGUGAUGGAGGUGUUGGGGUGGGGAAAUGGAGGUGUUGGAGAUGUUGGAGGUGUGGAGGUGAUGGAGGUGUGGAGGUGGAGGGGAUGGAGGUGUUGGUGGUGGAGGAGAUGGAGGUGUUGGGGAUGUUGGAGGUGUGGAG